rnacentral:snoRNA from 1 species
GCAUGGAUGAUGACUUUACUUUCUUUUGUCGGAUACCCCUUCAUUCUACAAUGAGUGAGAUCCCUAUUCUGACAUGC